ACACACACAUAGAUCAAGUCACCAGGGCUGCCAUAUACGGAACCGCCAACCUCCGGAGUCUCCAAUAUUUCCAGCGUUUCCAAGCCACACAGGACCUCGAGGGACGCCACACUGAAGGAGGAAGGACGCGAAGGAUUCAGGACAACGUUAGGACUGCACAGGACGCCGACGGAAUACGAGUAUCGCUGGACUCCGGGUUGAUGGGUGGUGUUAAGGAAGGCGUGUUGGUGUUUUAAGUCACUCUGUAAUGGCUAUAAAUUGUCAGCGUGUUGAGGCGGGCAGGACUCGAACUCGGAUCCUUCAAGACACUACGCCCGCAUCCUGACCGCUCAGCCACCGCCUCCCUGAAACUGAUGGAAGAGGAGGAGGAGGAGGAGGAGGAGGAGGAGGAAUGGACCGAAGGAGAUGGAGGAGCUGAAGAAGAUUACGACCUCUUGAGAUGAAGAAGAAGAAGAAGACGAAGGAGAAGAAGAAGACAAAGAAGAAAAAGAAGAAG